rnacentral:sRNA from 1 species
UAUUGCCAAUAGUGGCGUUGCGCCCAUA